rnacentral:rRNA from 1 species
AAAGAAACCAACAGGGAUUGCCUCAGUAACGGCGAGUGAAGCGGCAAGAGCUCAAAUUUGAAAGCUGGCCCCCUCGGGGUCCGCGUUGUAAUUUGCAGAGGAUGCUUCGGGUGCAGCCCCCGUCUAAGUGCCCUGGAACGGGCCGUCAUAGAGGGUGAGAAUCCCGUCUGGGACGGGGUGUCUGCGUCCGUGUGAAGCUCCUUCGACGAGUCGAGUUGUUUGGGAAUGCAGCUCUAAAUGGGUGGUAAAUUUCAUCUAAAGCUAAAUACUGGCCGGAGACCGAUAGCGCACAAGUAGAGUGAUCGAAAGAUGAAAAGCACUUUGAAAAGAGAGUUAAACAGCACGUGAAAUUGUUGAAAGGGAAGCGUUUGCGACCAGACUCGCCCGCGGGGUUCAGCCGGCAUUCGUGCCGGUGUACUUCCCCGUGGGCGGGCCAGCGUCGGUUUGGGCGGCCGGUCAAAGGCCCUCGGAAUGUAUCACCUCUCGGGGUGUCUUAUAGCCGAGGGUGCAAUGCGGCCUGCCCGGACCGAGGAACGCGCUUCGGCUCGGACGCUGGCGUAAUGGUCGCAAAUGACCCGUCUUGAAACACGGACCAAGGAGUCUAACAUCUACGCGAGUGUUCGGGUGUCAAACCCGUACGCGCAGUGAAAGCGAACGGAGGUGGGAGCCCCCUCGCGGGGCGCACCAUCGACCGAUCCUGAUGUCUUCGGAUGGAUUUGAGUACGAGCGUAGCUGUGGGGACCCGAAAGAUGGUGAACUAUGCCUGAAUAGGGCGAAGCCAGAGGAAACUCUGGUGGAGGCUCGCAGCGGUUCUGACGUGCAAAUCGAUCGUCAAAUUUGGGUAUAGGGGCGAAAGACUAAUCGAACCUCU